CCCUGAGAUGGGGAACGAUAAAAAAACGGACGAACACAACAAAAUCUACAAAAUCUUGAGAUUUUGUUGUGUUCGUCCGUUUUUUUAUCGUUCCCCAUCUCAGGGUUU
rnacentral:pre_miRNA from 1 species